rnacentral:ncRNA from 2 species
AACUAUGUCUAACCAGUCGGUUCUAAUGGGGAGCAGCCGUUAGAGGAAACGGGGAAAGUUCGGUGCAAGUCCGGCGCUGUCCCGCAACUGUAAUGAGAGUCAUGUCGCUUUCUGAGUCAGGAUGCCCGCCGAUGUGUUAGUUUACAU